CAUUAGCUUGUUGGCGGGGUAACGGCCCACCAAGGCGACGAUGUCUAGGGGUUCUGAGAGGAAGGUCCCCCACACUGGUACUGAGACACGGACCAGACUCCUACGGGAGGCAGCAGUGAGGAAUAUUGGUCAAUGGGCGAGAGCCUGAACCAGCCAAGUCGCGUGAAGGAUGACGGCCCUACGGGUUGUAAACUUCUUUUGUCAGGGAGCAAUUGGGUCCACGCGUGGGCUUAGCGAGAGUACCUGAAGAAAAAGCAUCGGCUAACUCCGUGCCAGCAGCCGCGGUAAUACGGAGGAUGCGAGCGUUAUCCGGAUUUAUUGGGUCUAAAGGGUGCGUAGGCGGAAUAUCAAGUCAGCGGUAAAAAUUCGGGGCUCAACCCCGUCGUGCCGUUGAAACUGAUGUUCUUGAGUGGGCGAGAAGUAUGCGGAAUGCGUGGUGUAGCGGUGAAAUGCAUAGAUAUCACGCGGAACUCCGAUUGCGAAGGCAGCAUACCGGCGCCCAACUGACGCUGAAGCACGAAAGCGUGGGUAUCGAACAGGAUUAGAUACCCUGGUAGUCCACGCAGUAAACGAU
rnacentral:rRNA from 1 species